GGUCGAAGUCCCCCUGCAGGGUGUGUGUGUGAUCGCGCACCUGCCGGGCUAGGGAGUGCGACGCUGCGGGCGCACCUGCUGGGACAAAAAGACUCACUCUGUCGCGCAGUGUCGCGAUCUUGGCUCACUGCAACCUCCGCCUCCCAGGUUCAAGCAAUUCUCCUGCCUCACCCUCUGGAGUAGCUAGGACUACAGGCCCGUGCCACCACGCCCGGCUAAUUUUUGUAUUUUUAGUAGAGACGGGGUUUCACCAUGUUGGCCAGGCUGGCCUCGAACUCCUGACCUUAGGUGAUCUGCCCACCUCGGCCUCCCAAAGUUUUGGGAUUACAGGCGUGAGCCCCCACGCUGGCCAUAAUUAUGUGUCUCUGUUUAUUGUCUUAUCUUCCUCUGCCAUGUGUCCUCCAAUGGCUGUGUUCUCAGGGAGGAUUUUUCUGUGUAAUGGCAGAAAAGGUCCUAGCAACUCCAGGUCCACAAUGUGGUUCAUGAUACCUGCCACUCACCCUGCACCAGUAACCACAUUAGUCCCAGAGCCAAGCAAGAAAGCACGUGGGGUAUUUGGGUACCUGAAAUGGGCCGGUUUGGCCAAAUUAAAUGAUGUAGUUAUGAUCCAGGCCUCAAAGCCACAAUAACGGUUUUGUUUUUGCUUUUGAUGAGGUCCCACUCCGUCACCCAGGCUGGAGUGCAGUGGCACCGUCAUAGCUCACUGCAGCCUCGAACUCCAGGGCUCAAGUGAUCCUCCCACUUCACCCUCC
rnacentral:lncRNA from 10 species